ACUGAUGCUGCAGCUGAACCUCCAAUACUUUGGCCACCUGAUGCAAAGAACUGAUUCGUUGGAAAAGAUUCUGCUGCUGGCAAAGAUUAAAGGAGGGAGGAGAAGGGGACGACAGAGGAUGAGAUGGUUGGAUGGCAUCACUGACGCCAUGGACAUGAGUUUGAGCAAGCUCCAGGAGAUGAUGAAGGACAGGGAAGCCUGGUGCACUGGAGUCCCUGGGGUAGAAAAGAGCUGGACAUGACUGAGGGACUGAACAGCAACAAUAAAGAAUCAAACAAAUAUUUACCCCAAUUUGCUGACCCAAGAAAUUUUUUUCUCUUGCAGAUAUUUACUUGCUUCAUCUUUUCAACUUGUCCCCAACUCCAGGAAGUUAAUUGUUCCCCUAAAAAGACAGCUGACUGGUUGUUGAAUCGAUCUUUUUGGUAGCUGCUUUUGGAAGCAAAUCAGAAGUCUACUGUCCAGAGCUCGAGUAAGUUAGUCCAAGGUUCCUGAAGGCUGAACUGUGGAUGGGGUACAUUGGAACCACCUGGAGGCUUUACAGAACACAGACUCAGCUCCUGAGAAUUCUUGGCAAUUGGUCUAAGAAAGAGCCUAAGAGUUUGAACUCCCCACUGGACAACUGUUCCUAGCAUGUCUGUAGCACCCGGCGGGCGGUAGCUGUCCAUCCACAGGGCAGGGGACAAGCGGGUUGUUUUCACAUAGCUGAAGUGCCGCUGGUUGAGAGGGAUUAGCCUUCUGCCUGGCUCUACGGGGCACACUGGUGAAGUAAGUUUCCAGGAGGCAGAUUUGGGCACAAUCGGAAAGAAUUCUGUAACAAGCCGAGCCCCGAAACAACUGAUCAUGGGGAACUAGCUUGAUGGACAGUGGGCCAGGUUUAGAGCCAGAAGAUGCAAGGUUGGAUAAAAGUCUGUGUGUGUGUCAGUUGCUUCAGUCGUGUCCUGCCCUUUAUGACCCCGUAGGCUGUCCCUUCCCAGGCUCCUCUGUCCAUGGGAUUCUCCAGGCAAGAAUACUGGAGCGGGUUGCUAUUUCCUCCUCCAGGGGAUCUUCCAGACCCAGGGAUCCAACCCGCGUCUCCUGAGUUGUGGGCAGAUUCUUUACCAACUGAACCACCAGGGAAGCCCGGAUAAAGGUUUACGCAGGCUCAGGGAGAAAGCUGCAUAUAUGGGGCCACUCUGCCUUCCUGCAUCAGCAUGGAUCCCAAGGUACCACUGGGCUGUCUUCCAGCUCUCUCGGCCAGUGGUCCUCGACCAAGGGGAGCCUUCCUUUCCUCCCAGAAAAGUUUGGCAACUUGGAGACCAUCUGGCAAUUUUGGCUUGUCACAGCUGGGAGAGGGGAUACUGCCAGACGUUUUACGUCACUCAGGACAUCCCCCGCACUCUCACCACCCUGCAAAGACCCAUCCCAC
ensembl:lncRNA